CCAAGAUUUGGGAGACGGCCUUGGUCACGGUAUAUGCCUUGGUUUUGUGUACCGUGGUCGGGACGACGGUGAAAACAGGGCGCCUGGGGCGAUUUGAUCAAGGUUCGUGAAAUUUACACGUGACGUUUGGCAUACAGAAGGCCCAUUGAGGGGGAGAAGUUCCAAAUGUCACGUGACUAAUAUGCCCCCCGGCGCCCUGUUUUCACCGGCGUCCCGUGGUCGCCGUGUGGUCCGUGGUGGUGUUUCCAUUUCGAUAUUGUGUUCAUUCUACUUACAUGGAGGAGUUUCCUUUCUCGCUGUGUGAUAUCUAUGAAUAUGCUGGAAAAAAUGUUGAUCUCUUGAGAGAAGGAGAGGCGGUGAUGAAUGCCCAACAUUUACUAGCAGUUGGGAUAUGGGAGAGAACUUCUCAGAAACUGACUGUAAAAGCUUUUUGUAUUCUGUCCGAAGAGCAAAUUGAGGAGAAACCCUGUGAGAUUCUGCUCGACAUGACCAAGGACAAGGAAGGUUUUUCUGUUAAAUGCUCUUGCAAUGAAGAAAGUGAUUUGCAUGGGAAGUGCAAGCACUGUGCUGCUGUCAUCAUCCAUGUUUACAAGCAUCCUCCGUCGACACUGAUGGAGCUCGACUCGGCAUUUGACUCUCCAGACUGGGGGAACGUGAAAGACUGGUACAAGGGAUGUCCGAUAUCCGACCUCUGCUGCGUGCCAAAGGUUCCGGAGCCGCAACCCCUGACCCAGGCAGAAAAGGACGACUUUUUGAAAAGUAUGAUGGAAGCGUGCCCGGAUUCGGUCCUAGCCAUGCAACUUCGCGCAGGGGGGAGGUUUUCGUCACCGAAAACGAAGGGACGUGCAAGGCAACCCAAGAAAAGGCGCGCAGAAGAUUUGAAUGGUGGCAGUGAGUAGCGUGGCUGCCGCUGGCAAGUGGCUAUGCCUAGUGGUCAAUGUCUUUCGUAUAACGUUCCACCGUUAAAUGUCUCGCAAAGUGUCCUCUUUUUCUUAAAUAAAAUGACAAACUGAAUCAA